CUGCAGACACUGAUCGCUUACUCUGCAUGUUGUUGCAGAAGUGAGGGGAACCAGGUUUGUUGAAGUAAUUGUGGUAGAAAUGCAUUAGCCUCAGAAGCUUCUGAAGUGGUCCAUUCUGUCCCAGGACAAUG